CUUGAAUAAGUCUCGGCUAACUACGUGCCAGCAGCCGCGGUAACACGUAGGAGGCGAGCGUUAUCCGGAUUUAUUGGGCGUAAAGCGCAUGCAGGUGGCUAGGUAAGUCGGGUGUGAAAGCCCCGGACUUAAUCCGGGGAGGUCAUUCGAUACUGCUUGGCUUGAGAGCGGGAGAGGGAAGUGGAAUUCUCGGUGUAGUGGUGAUAUGCGUAGAUAUCGAGAGGAACACCAGUGGCGAAGGCGGCUUCCUGGCCCGUAUCUGACACUAAGAUGCGAAAGCGUGGGUAGCAAACGGACUUAGAUACUCCGGUAGUCCACGCUGUAAACGAUGGGUACUAGGUGUAGGGGGUGUAAAACUCUCUGUGCCAUAGUUAACGCACUAAGUACCCCGCCUGGGGACUACGGUCGCAAGGCUAAAACUCAAAGGAAUUGACGGGGGCCCGCACAAGCAGCGGAGCGUGUGGUUCAAUUCGAAGAUACACGAAGAACCUUACCUGGGCUUGACAUGUUGGUAGUAGUGAAGCGAAAGCGGAACGAUCCUUCGGGAAGCCAUCACAGGUGCUGCAUGGCUGUCGUCAGCUCGUGCCGUGAGGUGUUGGGUUAAGUCCUGUAACGAGCGCAACCCUCGCUGCCAGUUACAAGUGUCUGGCGGGACUGCCGGUGACAAACCGGAGGAAGGUGGGGAUGACGUCAAGUCAGCAUGGCCUUUAUGUCCAGGGCUACACACACGCUACAAUGGCCGGUACAAUAGGUUGCCAAGUCGUGAGGCGGAGCUAAUCCUCAAAACCGGUCUCAGUUCGAAUUGCAGGCUGCAACCCGCCUGCAUGAAGUUGGAGUUGCUAGUAAACGCGCGUCAGCAAUAGUGCGUUGAUACGUUCCCGGGCCUUGUACACACCGCCCGUCACGUCAUGGGAGUUGGUAACACCUGAAGACAGU
rnacentral:rRNA from 1 species